rnacentral:rRNA from 1 species
CCUACGGGAGGCAGCAGUGGGGAAUAUUGCGCAAUGGGCGAAAGCCUGACGCAGCGACGCCGCGUGAGGGAUGAAGGUCUUCGGAUCGUAAACCUCUGUCUGCAGGGAAGCACGGUCACUGUGCUAAUCAGCAGUGAAUUGACGGUACCUGCAAACGUAGCACCGGCUAACUCCGUGCCAGCCGCCGCGGGAAUACGGAGGGUGCGUGCGUUAAUCGGAAUUAUUGGGCGUAAAGCGCUCGUAGGCGGUAUAUCAAGUCAAGGGUGAAAUUCCCGCGCUCAAAGUUGGAACUGCCUUUGAAACUGGAAAACUGGAGUGUGUGAGAGGAUAGUGGAAUUCCAGGUGUAGGAGUGAAAUCCGUAGAUAUCAGGAGGAACAUCAGUGGCGAAGGCGACUAUCUGGCACAUAACUGACGCUGAGGAGCGAAAGCGUGGGUAGCAAACAGGAUUAGAUACCCUUGUAGUC